CCUCGCUCCUCUGCAGACAUAGCAGUUAGACUUGUUAUGUUUAGUAGCAUUGUAUUUCAUCCAUUCAAGUCACAAGUUAGUGUCAGAGAAACCUGUCUCUACAGCCCUCUUAUCCUCAAAUAUGGGAUGACUACCAUGUCUUUUAAAGUCCUAAUGUGUGGUUUGAGGGGAUUAACAGUCAUGUGCGUGGCACCUACCCAUUCAGCUGAGUCAUACAUGUCCUGUAAGAAAAAGGUCUCCUGUUUAUUGUAUAAACCUCUUCCCUUCCAAUUCAGAUUUUAUUAGCCGUAAUGCUUGGGAGAAUAGAUUCAAACUUAGUUUCUUACCUUAAAAUUAUUUGGUACCCCCCUUGACACCCCUAUGGCAUUAAUAUACAUAUAUAUAUGUGUGGGUAAAACCACCCUUUAUAGGGGUACUCCUUUUUGUCCUGAAGCAUGAAUGAGGUGUGUCAAGAGUACCUUGGGGAUUGUCAUGUGUUAUGUGUAUGGACAUAAUAACCUAGGCUAGGGCACAUUUACUUAUUCUUAGAAAUCUUGUCUCAUGCUACCCUAGUACUGGCAGAUUCAGAUCAUUUAAACAUUCAAUAUUAAUAUCACCACAAACUCAAGAUAAGCAGAUGAUCUUGAAGAAGCUUUGACUGUGCGUAUGGCACCUCAGACGUGAGGGCUGCAGGGUAAGGAGUAUGUUUGUUUCUCUUUAGUUUCACGAGGUCCCCUUUUGGGGUAUUCAGCUUUCCAUCGAUGGCAGGUGGUCAGGCAUUAUUAUGGCCAUCAAAACACCCACUUGUUGAUAUUUAUUUAUUUAUUUAUUUUCAACAAGUAUCUUUGUUCUCUAAGAAUGGAGUUUCAAAAAGGGUUGUCAAGAUCAACAAAUGUUACUUCACAUGAUGCAGAGGCAGGCUUGAUUCUGGAAUGAUGAACCCACGGGGUGAUCUCUGUAUCUUUCACGGUGCACUACUCAGCAUGUGGUCUUGGUUAUCACUUUGGUGGCUGGAUAGGCCUCUGGCCAUCCUGAAAACAUGUCUGCUAUAAUUAGUGCAUAUUUGAAUCAGCCAUUCUUUGGCAUUCUGGCGACUUGACUCCUCUGGAAGAGAUAAUGAGGUUUGGCUAGAUGCUUGGGGCUUUCAUCCAUUCUUCUUGAGUUGCCCUUGGCACAAAUGGCACAAGAUUUA